rnacentral:rRNA from 1 species
CAGUAGCCGCGGGAAUACGGAGGGGGCUAGCGUUGUUCGGAAUUACUGGGCGUAAAGCGCACGUAGGCGGCUUGGUAAGUUAGAGGUGAAAGCCUGGAGCUCAACUCCAGAAUUGCCUUUAAGACUGCCGAGCUAGCAGGUGAGAGAGGUAAGUGGAAUUCCGAGUGUAGAGGUGAAAUUCGUAGAUAUUCGGAAGAACACCAGUGGCGAAGGCGGCUUACUGGCUCAUACUGGACGCUGAGGUGCGAAAGCGUGGGGAGCAAACAGGAUUAGAUCCCCGUAGUCCCUGUCUCUUAUACAC